UAACAUAUAUACGUAUGCGCCAUGCGCGCAAGGCGGUUUUAAUCAUGCCGCGCGAAGUAAUUUGAGUUUGGCGAGCUGGUAGUUACCCUGUGACAAACUUGAGGUGGUGUUGCACACUUGCACAGCAAGUCGGGGGAUAUUUUCGGUUUGCGAAGCGGAGCGACGGCGCCGAGGAGCGUAGCGACGAGUGCCGCUAGCAUGGCAUCACUGUACGGUGUUUUUUCAAAUUGGUGGCCCACUGGGGGAGGUGUUGCAUAGAAAAUCGAGGGAUAUUUUCCUUAGCGAAAGCGUCGCUCCCCCUAUACAGUAGGAAAAAACAUUUUUACGCCGGAUACAUGGCAAAAUUUUACAAUACCUAUCGAUAUGUAAAUAAAUGAUAAUGAUCAUAACAGAAAUUUGUUUAUCUUUUUUUUGUUGCACGAGGCAUUAUAGAAGUGUUGCGCGCAUGCGUAUCAACGUAAAAUCGCAAACUUGGGAUAGCUAUAACUUCCAAAAUAAUGGUUUCCGCAAAUUUUUUUUGGCACCAUCGUUCUUAGCUCGUCGAAAUACGUCUAUUUCGAAACAAAAAUUUUAAAAAUGUGCUGGGUUGCUAAAGUAAAUUUGUUCCACAACUUUGGGAACCUCUGUAUUACAUUUCUAUUUAAAUUUUAAAUAUUUUUUCGCCUUGUACGCGAGUUCGGUAGUUUGCAGUGUUUGCAGUUUGCACGUCGCCGUCAUGGUGUUUUUAUUUAUUUUAGUAAAAUCGCAGAAUAGGUUAAAUUUAAUCUAUUCUGUGGUAAAAUGUUAUCUAGAGUCUGGGCAUUUCAUGUUUUCAUUAGAAGGUUAAAAGUCCAGCAUUCGAAAUAUUACAACACUAUUACACUGAUUUCGCCGAGUAUACUGCCUCAUUCUCAUUGCUAUGUACAUUACACAUAUAUCAGUUAAAACUUCAGUUGUAUGAUCUACACACGGAAAAUACAAGUUUAAAUUCUAAGCACAGAAGAAUUCUUCAAAUGUGUUAUCAAAUAGAUUCGCUCAGUCUGCAUAAUUCAGAAAACAUGCUUCAAAUGCUUGCAUAAUUUGGAACAAAUUCUGAUUUACUUGAGUUAAGAAUCCUCUAGUUUUGAAAUUGACUAAAUCUGCUGCUGGAUUGGAUGAUUUUCCUUUAGGAACUUGCAAACUGGAUUUCCAAACUUCACUUUUAAUUUUUAUGCCGAUUGAUCAGUGUCAUGCCAGAAGAUAAACAAUAUUCUUGUAGAUUUAGUUUUAGAAGGCAAAUUAAGGUACAUUAAAAACACUAAGUGUUCAGCUGGAGAUUUUGCUAAAAUAUUAUAAAACUAUGAUGUAUCUACUGUACCAAAAUUAAUACUGUUUCGUUAUGGUGGAUAAAAAAAAUCCAAACACUGCUAACUGAAGAUGACAAAACAAAUCAAAGUCAUCUUUAAAUUCUGCUCCCAUUUUGCUUUUUGUGGAAGGAUCAAAGUCUGAGCCAAAUAUAAGUUCAGUACAACAAUUGUAAAUUUACUUAACGAAAUUGGUGCCAAAUUUAGUACAUUUGAUAUACCACAAGAUCAAGUUGUUUGAGAAAAAUUAAAUACUUAUUCCAAUUGGCCAACAUAUCCACAGGUCUAUAUGGCUUGGUUCUGCUCAUGGGCAAGGGCUUCGUUUCAAAGCACUGGCCUCACCCGUCGACUUGGUACUGGAAGUGUCUGAUUGGAGCCAACAAAAACUGGUUGACGCCGAUGUAUUAUGUAUCGACAAGACCACAAAGAAUUAAAACCAUUGAAAAAACCAACUUAAACUCUCAUGCUAUCUGCAACAAUCACAUUCAAACCUCCCUAACCCAAAUCAUUCAGCAAGAUACAUUAACUGACGUAAGAAUGUGUAUCCAGGCCAAUUAGGAUAUUAUUCUGUUUGGAAAAACAUCUUCUGAAAAAACAAUUCCUACUAACAUAAUUGUUUAUCCGAGUGUCUGCAAAGGAGAGCUUCCAGAUAAACUAGAAUAAUAGUGACUAUAAUAACAUAGACUACUCAAUAGAGAUGUGUUGAUCAAACUAGUUGAAUUGAACGAUUUGCUAUAAAGUACUAUUGAGAGUACUAUACUAUUCAGAACUGAAUCUAUUUCAAAUUGAAAUCUUUGACAUGGAUUCGUCAAACACGGCGGUUAUGUUGACUUUAUAUUCUUAUAAUAAGGUCUUAUAAUCUCAGAGGUGUAGCAAGAUUCAUCAGGGUUUUUUGCCAUUUAACAAACUUUCUACCUUGUACAUUUCUUCACACUCCUCCACUAUAGACAUUCACAAACAUACAUAUACAAAUGUAUACAUCAAUUAUUUUAUUCUAUUUUUAAACAAGUAAUAAUAAUUAUAUUAAUAGAAAUAUUCACUACAUUAAUAAUUAUUACUUAUUAGUUAUUAACAUAAGUAAAUUUAAAUUAUAGUCAAUAACUGUUUUUGACGAAAUAUUUGCUACCAACAAAGUUUUAGUUAUAUUACAUUUUCUAUAAGCUAAGUAUACAAACAUUAUUUGUUUUUAUUUUUGGAAAUAUUCGUCUUCAAGUUAGAUAAAGAUAGUCAUUUUGUUAAUAACAGUUCACUUCAGCUACUUUUGACAGUUGAUGUACAAAAACGUACUGUUUUAUAAAACUAAAUUACCUUAUCAUCCCACAAAUAAAUAAAUAAAUAAACAUUUUAAAAAAACA